rnacentral:rRNA from 1 species
UUUACCUACGGGGCGCAGCAGUGAGGGAUAUUGGGCAAUGGGGGAAACCCUGACCCAGCGACGCCGCGUGAGUGAAGAAGUAUUUCGGUAUGUAAAGCUCUAUCAGCAGGGAAGAAAAUGACGGUACCUGACUAAGAAGCCCCGGCUAACUACGUGCCAGCAGCCGCGGUAAUACGUAGGGGGCAAGCGUUAUCCGGAUUUACUGGGUGUAAAGGGAGCGUAGACGGCAGAGCAAGUCUGAAGUGAAAGCCCGCGGCCCAACUGCGGGACUGCUUUGGAAACUGCCCGGCUAGAGUGCUGGAGAG